UAAGUUCUCCCAGGGCGCUGCCAGAGCCCUGCCGGCUAAGGGAUGGGGAAACAAACAGGUGGGGCUGUAAUCUCGUAAUUCCCAGUCAAAAGAGGUAGGAAGGGAUGCUGAGGACCCAGGGAUACUGAUGAUUGGGCUGACCCAGAAGUGGCCAUCUUUGUGGAAACCAGGCUGGAGUGCAAUGGUGUGAUCUCAGCUCACUGCAACCUCCACCUCCAGGGUUCAAGCAAUUCUACUGCCUCAGCCUCCCGAGUAGCUGGCAUUACAGGCGCAUGCAACCACGCCCAGCUAAUUUUUUGCAUUUUUAGUAGAGACGGGGUUUCACCGUGUUGGCUAGGCUGGUCUCAAACUCCUGAUCUCAGGUCAUCUGCCUGCCUCAGCCUCCCAAAGUGCUGCAAUCACAGGCAUGAGCCACCUGGCCUGUUUUUUAAAAAGCCUAAGCCUGUUGACCCCAGGCUCCACAAUCUUCAAUUUUCCGAGUCUCAGUUUUUUUUUCAUGAGUAAAAUAGAGGUAAUACCUACCUCACAGAGAUUUUGUGAAGAUUAAAUGAAACAGUGUCUGGACCAUAAGUGCCCAAUAUAAAGUCAUCCAGAGUAAAGUCAUAGGGCUCAAAGUCUUUCCGGAAGCGGCGAGCCAGGGUCUCCUCGUCUUCCUUGCUGAUCUGACACUGCCUCCAGUCAGACUUAUCAGGAACAUUAAGGAUGGCUUCACUGGCCAGGACCUCCCUGCAGAAAUAGCACAAAGAAGUCAAAAUGGAAACUAUCAGCCUGAGCUCUCCUCAACAUCACCCAAAGGAGGGGACUCAGGCCCACGUAACAGCAGCACAAGCCCAAUGUCAACAAAAC
rnacentral:lncRNA from 1 species